AUAUUAUUCAUCUGUGUGUCUGAAUGUUGUAUAGAAUAUUUUAUAUCAUAUAUUACAUAUAAAACAUAUAUUUUUGAAAGAAUUAACACUUUAAAAGUUUAAAUCUAAUUAAUACUCAAGGUAAAAGCUGUAAGCUUGUAACAUUUUUUGUAUCAAAUCAAAUGUACCUAUAUAGAUUAUCGCAGGAUCGUAACGAGAACUCGUAGAAAAGUAAAAAAUCAAUCGUUCGAUUUCAUUGUCAAUAUAACGAUUAGUCAAUUGCUAAAACUUGCUCUGCAUGAUCGAGUCUAUCGAAAAAAUCAUGUACAGACGCGUUAAAUUAUUUAAGAAUAAAAAAGCAGGUGAAAAUUGAGAUUGGGCAAAAAAUAUUUUGACAAGGGUACCAAUUGGACCUGUUGCGGUCCUAGCCAUCGGCAAGUCCAUAGUUCAGAGCUAAAUGCAAGAGUGCUUCGUCAUGGAAUCGCGUUUAUCUCCUUCCAAAUUCUUCAGAAAGUAGAAUAUUGUAUUGCGUUCAAGUUUUACAUAAUGUAAAAAAAGCGAUAUUUUAAUGAUGAGAUAACGUUUUCCAUUCAAUCCACUCAAUUCAUUCAGUCAGAAUAAUGAGAUAAGAUGUUGACCCGCAUGAUUAAUGAAAUACCGAAAUGUUAAAUAAUUCUCGACACGUGCUUUAUAAUCGUUUAUCAUGUGCGAAUACAAUCUCAUGGUCUGUUGUCUCGUCGUACGAUUGCAGUCGACUAAAACAGAUAAUUGCAAGAUUACAAAAAAUAAAUUUUAUAUAAUAUAUAUGACAUGUUUUAAAUAAAAUAUUUAAGGUAUAUUUAACAUAAAAUGUAUUAUUUUCACACAUAAAACAAUUUUAAUUUCUUACUAUUAUAUCAAGGUUGUGUCUGCUUUAUCAGGAUUCGAUUGAAGUAUCGUAUGAUAUGUACGUGCCAAUAACUGCGCUGUCGAUUAUACCAUGUACACGUACGAUAUAAGACAAUACUUAUCCAUCAUACAAUCAAACGAACAAAUAAACUAUUACAUAAUUAGA